rnacentral:rRNA from 1 species
CAGCAGCCGCGGGAAUGCGAAGGGUGCAAGCGUUACUCGGAAUUACUGGGCGUAAAGCGUGCGUAGGUGGUGGUUUAAGUCCGUUGUGAAAGCCCUGGGCUCAACCUGGGAAUUGCAGUGGAUACUGGGUCACUAGAGUGUGGUAGAGGAUAGUGGAAUUUCCGGUGUAGCAGUGAAAUGCGUAGAGAUCGGAAGGAACAUCUGUGGCGAAGGCGACUAUCUGGGCCAACACUGACACUGAGGCACGAAAGCGUGGGGAGCAAACAGGAUUAGAUACCCGAGUAGUCCCUGUCUCUUAUAA